CUGUAGAUAGCAUCUUGAGUGUCCAAAAUAGCUUUCUUUGAAUUCUGCAUCGUGUAGAUGCCAGUCUUAUAAUGGAUCUCUCAGUCACAUCAACGCCCGAGUCUAUGGUGAUGAUAAUGUUUGUGCAAAGUGGAUGCCAAGUGACUGCACAAUCAAGGUUUCUGAGUAGUUGAAAUAGAUAAGUCUUGAGUCAAUCAGUACAUCUGUACCACAUUCAUGUGGCAAAUGCUGCUUUAUGGAGAUGUUUCUAAUACUGACCUACAAUAAUUCAGCCAAGAUCACGUUUCUACUGUCUUCAGGAAAUGAGAAAAAUGAAUCCAGGAAAUUUCCAUCUUUAACUAUACUCUGUAAAUGUGCUGUCCAAUACACAGAUAGCUACUGAGCACUGGAAUAUAGCUAGUCUGAAUGGAGAUGUUCUGUUUGACUUUUUUGGACUCCACAUGUGUGAGAUCAUGCAAUAUUUGUCUUUCUGUGCCUGGCUUAUUUCACUUAGCGUAAUGUCCUCCAGGCUCAUCCAGGUUGUUGCAAAAGGCAGGAUUUUCUUCUUUUUUAAGGCUUGGAGAGUCAUUUGUUUUCAUAAGAGAUUCACACUCUAUGUGAUGCCUUCUGCCAUGGGAUGUCCCUCACCAGAUUCUAGUGCCAUGCUCUUGGACUUCCUAGCCUCCAGAACCAUAAGCCAAAUAAACUUUAGUUCUUUGUAAAUUACCCAAUCUGUGGUAUUCUGUUAUAGCAGCAGAAAAUGAAGUAGAACAUUGAGUCACUUCCCUAAUCUAGACUGGCCAACUCUUUGCAAUUAUGAUCUUAUUAUUCAAUUUUUGAUUUCAGGAACUCUUUCUCCUUUCUACUCCUAAGGAUAAUAGAAUACAUUUUAGUCUUUUGUUUAUGAGAGCAAGUAUACAUUAAUUUUUUUUUUCUUUUAGAGUUUCAUGACAGUUGUUAACAUAACUGGAGACCCCCUGAAGUGUGACAAGAAAAAAAUUAUUGCUCUAACUGUAGGGUGGUUGUAGCUACAUCUGAAUAAGACACUUUUGGAAAAUGAGAUAGUAAUCCCCUACAAAUUCUUUGCUGGAGUUCUUAGAUCUGUAGAAGUAGUUUCAUCAUGCAUUGUGAUUAUUUGGGAAAGUCCUAUUGUGCCUUUUUAAGAUGAUAGUGUGGAGCUGAUGGGGGAAAAUAAUCAGGAACAGCUGGAGGCUUUGAAAGUGUUUUCAUGAGCAGAAAAAUUCCAUGC
rnacentral:lncRNA from 10 species